GGCAGUUCUUGGGUGAUGCACCCCAGAAUCAGGCUCCCUCCUCUCUGGUUCUGGGUGCAUCACCUGAGAACUGCA
rfam:Myotis davidii contig40071, whole genome shotgun sequence.